GACGGAAGGUGCAAGCGUUACUCGGAAUUACUGGGCGUAAAGCGUCCGCAGGCGUCCUCAGCAGUCUGGUGUAAAAGCACGGAGCUCAACUCCGUGUACGUGCUAGAAACCAUGAGGAUAGAGUCAUGUAGAGGCAUCUGGAAUGUCGUGUGUAGGGGUACAAUCCGUUGAUCCACGAUAGAACGCCAAAAGCGAAAGCAGGAUGCUGGACAUGUACUGACGCUCAGGGACGAAAGCGUGGGGAGCGAAGGGG
rnacentral:misc_RNA from 1 species